ACAUUUAAAAGAUGAUUCAACAAUAUGCAAAUGAAGGUGACUUCUAAAGAAGUGAGUGAGUGUCAGUGAGAGACAGAAGAGCUCCAUCAGCUCAGCUUCAACAUCAACCAUGUUCUCUGGAGCUCUGAUACUGCUGCUGGCAGCUGGAUCCUGUGUGAACAGUAUUGAUCUCAUCCAGCCAGACUCAAUGGUUGUGCAGCCUGGACAGUCUUUGACCAUCACCUGUCAGGUCUCUGGUUAUUCUCUGACUGAUAACAGCUAUGCAACCGGUUGGAUCAGACAGUGUGAAGGAAAACCAAUGGACUGGAUUUCCCAUCAGUGGGGAACAAGUGGCCUUGUUCAAAAUAAUGCUCUGAAGAACAAGUUCAGCUACAGCAGAGACACUUCUGCUCGAACAGUGACUCUAAACGGACAGAACGUGCAGCCUGAAGACUCUGCUGUGUAUUACUGUGUCAGACAGCCAGACAGCCACAACAACACAAACCAUCAGUAGACCUGAACAAAAACCCCUCAGUGCCUGAACACUUGUAACAUGAAGCCACCAGAGGAGGAGCCCUCAGACCACUAAUGAUUUCAACACCAGCUCACUGUCACACUGAAGACAGAAACAGACCUAAAACCCCCCUGAGA